UUUCUCAGUGCCCUGAAUCAGGUGGACUGAGGGCAAUCUUAAUAUGCAAUGAUGGUACUCACAAACUGCAGCAGUGUUCACUGCCUUUAACAUACUCUCAGAGCACUGUUUCUCAAGGUGAUGCACCAGAAAUUGCUUUACAAUCUAACUGAGAAACUAAGACCACUACAGAAAUCUAAGGGAAUAGUAUGAAGUAAAUUUUAGUAUUUUUUCAUUAAGUUUUAGCCUGUUUUUCAAUUUUAAAAAAAAUCAAGCUGUGGCAAUGCCAAAUAAAUUUCUUUGUGCUUCGAUUCAAACCCUGCUAGAGCACUGUCCUGCAGAGGUAGAUUUAUGUUAAUACCCUUUUGGUGGGUUCAGACCUCUUUGUCCCAGAAGAAACGUUCAUAUUGUUCAAACCUCAAAUGGCAGUGUGGUUUGUAACAAGGUCUAGGAUGACCACAUUUCAUGCACACCCCAUGCCUCCAGAGAGACUAUUAUAUUGCAUAUAUUGAAUAUAUUGCACCCUGAUCUGUCCAUAGCUUACCCUGUGCUCGCACUGUGCAUUAACACUGCUCUCCUCCCCGACAGCCCACAUCUAUCUUGCUAAAAGCAAGUGACAGCAGUUGGCAGAAGAAGCUUCUGCCCUUGUUGGUUGAUGCAUUGUUUGAAGCAGUGACAACCUGGACAACAGGACAACUCCCAAGACGAGGAGCUUGUUGAGUCAUGUUUGUGUGGAGCUGCCAAGUGGCUGAGCUGCUCCCAGACAGCUGCAGUCAUGCUUCAAAAAGCUGCUUGCUCCUGCUGAUGCCGCACAGUUGUGCUGUUCGUGUUUUCUGCAGUACUUUGUGCAGUGCAUUCAUCCUGACAGAAUGAGAGCAAAGACGGAAAACAACAAAACUGCUUGUCAUUCAAAAGCCUGAAUAGAUGAUAACUUUUUAAUCUGUGCCACUCUGAUUAUUUCUGAAGCUUCUCUGUAACUCUUAACUCUUUCAAGUUUUAAUGAAUGGUACUUGUAGUUCUCCCCUGGGGAAGCUACUGUGUGCACUGGGUCUUAGCAUCCCCUCUUCAAUAUUUUGUUGCCAACUGUAUGUGUUGCUGGAGCAGAAAAAUAAUAAUAAAAAAAAAGACACCACCACAGAUAAAUACUGAAUAGAUACCUUCAGUUCUUUGUCCUGGCACUUGCUGCUGUAUGAAGAGUGUAACAGUGCACAAAAUAUAACCUGUGAAAUUCACAGGAUGACUGAAUGGCUGAAGCUGGCAGGGACCUCUGGGUGUCAUCUGGUUCAACCACUGCUCCAGCAGGGUUACCAGGAGCUGGUAGUCCAGGAUCACUCCCAUACAGCUUUUCAGCAUCUCCAAGGAUGGAGAUACUGCCACCUGUCUGGGCAACCUGUGUCAGUGCUCGGUCACUCUCAAAGGGAAAAGGAGUUUCCUGAUGUUCAGAGGGAACUUCCCGCAUUUCAGUGUGCCCAUUGUCUCUGGUGUUGUUACUGCUUACCCCUGGAAAAACCCUGGAUCCAUCCUCCUUGCACCUUUCCUACAGGUGUUUGUGUACGUUGGUGAGAUCCCCUGAGCCUUCUCUUCUCCAGGAUGAGCUGCUCCUUGCUGUGACCUUGGUGACCAUUCACUGGACUUUGUCCGUUGUGACUGUGUCUGCCGUGUCCUGGGGAGCCUGGCACUCCUGGUCUGGCUUUCCCAGUGCUGAGGGACAGGAUUACCGCCCCGGCCUGCUGGCAACACUUCUGCUGGUACAACCAGACACCACUGGCCUUGCCACAGGGAUACACUGCUGUCUUACUUCCCCAUCAGGGUCCACCAGGAGGGGCUUUCCUGAUGAACUGCUUCCCAGCUGGGCAUUCCCAGCCCAUGCUGGUGCCUGGGACUGUUCCCUGCUGCGGGACUUGGUUCUUCCCAUGCUGAACUGCUUGAGGUUCCUAUCAGCCCCUUUCCCCGGCCUGUCCGGGUCCCUCUGGACGGCAGCACCGCCUCUGGUGUAUCAGCCCCCUCACAGCUCGGUGCCACCAGCAAGGGUCACCAUCGCUCAGGUGCUGCCUCAUCUGCCCCUCAUCCAUAGCCUUAAUGAAAGUGUGACACAGAACUGGACCCACUACUGACCCCGUAGCUCUUUCCUUAAGCUUCAGCCUAUUUUUUUCAUGUAAUUGUACAGGAAGCUGUGGUGUCACCAAAUAAACGUUUCCCGUCACUUCUCAGAUAGAUCUUUGAUUCAAACACCGCUAGAGCUCUGUGAGUGAAGGACACCACACGGCGCUUUGACGUCCUCCGAACACACUCCGAGGGGUCCGGGCUCCUACAGCCCAUUGUUCGGGCUGCGGCGCUUGACAGACAGCCCUACUGGCCAGUGGACUCUUACAUCUGGCCAUUGGGGCGGGCCCUCGCUGCCGUGGCGGGGCGGGGCGG